ensembl:lncRNA
UCCUUGUUCCACCCAUUUUCUGCCUUUGAAAACCCUUUUUAUUGGUAUGAAAAUCUUUUUAAAGCUAAAUAAGCCUCCUGCCAGUUUUAAAACUCAGGAAUGUUUCCUUGGGAUGUGGAAACCAUCUGUUUGAAAUGUAAUCAUUUAGGGAAGAGAGGGCCCUUACCCGCUAGCUCCCUGGGCAGGUUGGACCUUAACUUCAGCUGGUACCUGGCUUCAAGUAGCAAACCUCUUCAGGUCCUAGAGUCGUAAUAAAAUUAUUGUUCUUGCAAAGGCAUUGGCAACAGAGGUGGCCACGCCACUUACCAAGUAACUUUACAGUAAACAAAGGAAACCCAAGACCAAACCAGACGGAAGAUAAACCUUUCACUUGGUGUGGCUCCUUGGAACACACUUCUCCUUGCUUGAUGGGACGUUGGCUAAACCAUGAACUGUUGAAUAGAGCCAGUUCGAUCUUCAGAUUUGCUCAAUGGAUUUUGUUUUUUAACAAGAGAGAGACUAACAGACAACAGUUGGUAAAGUGUGAACAAUACUCCUUCAGGAGAAGAUAAGCCUGGCUGUACCUUAAAAAAAAAAAAAAAAACAAACGAGACAAAAGCCUUUCUUCUCUGACCUGUGAGCCUCGUGAACCGUGACACACACGGUGGGCGUGAGCUUUUCUUUUGGGGGCCAGAAUCAGAAGUCCCUGCAGAGCUGCCCGCCACUCAGCAGCUGACUGCCCGCAUCCUCGCAGGCCCGCCUCCCCCCGUCUCCAUCUCUGCUGUGGAGGCUGAUCUUCCCUCACUUGUGUCUCUUCUCCAGCUCCCAGGUUGGAGACCUCGCUGGCUGAGGCCCGUGACUUCCUCUUCUCUGAGAGUCACUUCUUUCAUCUGCUGACGGGAGUGGUGUGGGCACGUCGCAUCCUGGAGGCACCGAACUCUGAAGGCGAGAAGAGGCCGAUCGCCGUAUAAUCUAUUCAAUUUCAAUUUCAAAAGAUGCUGCUGCUGAUCAAAGGAUACCCGACGGCAUCCCCUGCUGUGAAGUGAAGAGGGACCGCACCUCUCUGCUCUUGAGGCCGAGAGCACCACUUCCCAGGGAGGAGUUCAAUGGUGUAGCUGGAUGGCGGGUCAGAGCACACAUAAAAGGAGCCACAUACCAUACCUCCUUCCCGGAUGUACAUAAAUAGAAAAGAAGAGACCUAGGUGCCGAUGGGCUUCUAGGGACGAACCACCAAUUAAGCAGGUAUUUAUUCACAUGCUGUGUGCCCAGAAAUACCAUAUGGUCUCUUCACAGCGGUGAGAGAGAGGUAGGAAAAAAGCAAGAAAUGAGCCGUCUGUGUUUUCAACUGUUAACACGAUCUCUAAUAUCACUAAAUAGAUCCUGGUUGGCUCCUCUCAUGG